UAUACGGAGAGUUUGAUUCUGGCUCAGAACGAACGCUGGCGGCGUGGAUAAGACAUGCAAGUCGAACGGAGUAUGCAAUUAGCUUGCUAGAUGUAUACUUAGUGGCGGACGGGUGAGUAACACGUGAGCAACCUGCCCGAAAGUGGGGAAUAGCCCGGGGAAACUCGGAUUAAUACCGCAUGUGAUUAUGCAAGGCAUCUUGCACUAAUCAAAGCUGGGGAUCGCAAGACCUGGCGCUUUCGGAUGGGCUCGCGGCCUAUCAGCUUGUUGGUAAGGUAACGGCUUACCAAGGCUACGACGGGUAACUGGUCUGAGAGGACGACCAGUCACACUGGAACUGAGACACGG
rnacentral:rRNA from 1 species